rnacentral:pre_miRNA from 2 species
UCAGGCUCAGUCCCCUCCCGAUAAACCCCUAAAUAGGGACUUUCCCGGGGGGUGACCCUGGCU